rnacentral:rRNA from 1 species
GACGUAGGGCGCGAGCGUUGUCCGGAUUUAUUGGGCGUAAAGAGCUCGUAGGCGGCUUGUUGCGUCGACUGUGAAAACCUGCGGCUCAACCGUGUGGUCUGCAGUCGAUACGGGCAGGCUGGAGUUCGGUAGGGGAGACUGGAAUUCCUGGUGUAGCGGUGAAAUGCGCAGAUAUCAGGAGGAACACCGGUGGCGAAGGCGGGUCUCUGGGCCGAAACUGACGCUGAUGCGCGAAAGCCAGGGGAGCAAACGGG